CAAGUCUGUGUUGUAGUUGGAUUUGAUAAAAGAAGUGUUUGAUCCAGACUAACCCAUCAAACCUCAGAUUUCUUCAAAUGAGAGUCCACGAAACUUUAAUGUGGCGACGGAGCUCUGAAUAAUACCCGAGCCAUGUGGACGGCGGAGUGCACUCUGCUCACGGGGCCAUAUAAUUAUAAACUGAACCUCACAGGCCGCAGCUACUGGGCUAUUAACAUUACCAGCGCGUGGCUACACUCUCCUGGAUCGAGACCAGAGCGAAGAGAUAUAGAGAGAGAGAUCUACUUCUUUCUCAGUCAUCUCCCAUGGCUCCAAAACCGAUCACGAGCCCCGUGCCUGACUCAUGGUAUCCAACCCUAUCCGUCUCUAUGCUUGCGAUUGGCCUCGUGAUCACUGCUUCCUUCUUCAUCUAUGAAGCAACCUCUUCUAAGCGAAAUCGCAGUCUUGCCAAGGAGCUUA
rnacentral:misc_RNA from 1 species